UACGAAGGGGGCUAGCGUUGCUCGGAAUCACUGGGCGUAAAGGGUGCGUAGGCGGGGCUUUAAGUCAGGGGGGAAAUCCUGGAGCUCAACUCCAGAACUGCCUUUGAUACUGAAGAUCUUGAGUUCGGGAGAGGUGAGUGGAACUGCGAGUGUAGAGGUGAAAUUCGUAGAUAUUAGGAAGAACACCAGUGGCGAAGGCGGCUCACUGGUCCGGUACUGACGCUGAGGUGCGAAAGCGUGGGGAGCAAACAGG
rnacentral:rRNA from 1 species